rnacentral:ncRNA from 1 species
GAAAGCCGUAUGAGGGAAAACCUCACGUACGGUUUGAUGAGGAGGGGCUGAAAAAAAAAAAAAAACUCAGCCCUUUACUCUAGC